rnacentral:rRNA from 1 species
GACGAACGCUGGCGGCGUGCCUAAUACAUGCAAGUCGAGCGGACUGAUUAAGAGCUUGCUCUUAUGACGUUAGCGGCGGACGGGUGAGUAACACGUGGGCAACCUGCCCUGUAGAUCGGGAUAACACCGAGAAAUCGGUGCUAAUACCGGGUAAUAUCUGAGAUCACAUGAUCUUAGGUUAAAAGAUGGCUCCGGCUAUCACUACAGGAUGGGCCCGCGGCGCAUUAGCUAGUUGGUAAGGUAAUGGCUUACCAAGGCGACGAUGCGUAGCCGACCUGAGAGGGUGAUCGGCCACACUGGGACUGAGACACGGCCCAGACUCCUACGGGAGGCAGCAGUAGGGAAUCUUCCGCAAUGGACGAAAGUCUGACGGAGCAACGCCGCGUGAGUGAUGGAGGGUUUCGGCUCGUAAAGCUCUGUUGUUAGGGAAGAAACAGUACCGAACGAACUAGGUCGGUACCUUGACGGUACCUAACCAGAAAGCCACGGCUAACUACGUG